rnacentral:rRNA from 1 species
UUAAAAUUGUUGCAGUUAAAACGCUCGUAGUUGAAUUUCAAAGAAUCGAUAUUUUAUUGCAACUAUUCUAGGGGAACUAUUUUAGCUUUUCGCUUUAAUACGCUUCCUCUAUUAUUAAGUUCUUUAAAUAACAAAGAUUCUUUUUAAAAUCCCCACUUUGCUUUUGCUUUUUGGGGAUUUUGUUACUUUGAGUAAAUUAGAGUGUUCAAAGCAAACAGUUAAAGCAUUUACUGUGUUUGAAUACUAUAGCAUGGAAUAACAAAAUUGAACAAGCUAAAAUUUUUUGUUCUUUUUUCUUAUUUUGGCUUAGUUACGAUUAAUAGGAGUAGCUUGGGGACAUUCGUAUUCAGAUGUCAGAGGUGAAAUUCUUAGAUUUUCUGGAGACGAACAACUGCGAAAGCAUUUGUCUAAAAUACUUCCAUUAAUCAAGAACGAAAGUUAAGGGAGUGAAGACGAUCAGAUACCGUCGUAAUCUUAACCAUAAACUAUGCCGACUAGGUGUUGGAUGAAAGUGUUAAAAAUAAAAGUCAUCUUUCGAGGUGACUUUUAGAUUGCUUCCUUCAGUACCUUAUGAGAAAUCAAAGUCUUUGGGUUCUGGGGCGAGUAUUCGCGCAAGCGAGAAAGUUAAAAGAAUUGACGGAAGGGCACCACCAGGCGUGGAGCUUGCGGCUUAAUUUGACUCAACACGGGGAAACUCACUAGUUUAAGACAAGAGUAGGAUUGACAGAUUAAUAGCUCUUUCUUGAUUUCUUGGAUGGUGAUGCAUGGCCCGUUUUUAGUUCGUGAAUAUGAUUUGUCUGGUUAAUUCCGAUAACGAACGAGAUCUUAACCUGCUAAUUAGCGGCGAGUACACUAUAUUCUUAUUUGAAAUUGAACAUAGGUAACUAUACAUUUAUUCAGUAAUCAAAUUAGGAUAUUUUUAUUAAAAUAUCCUUUUCCCUGUUCUACUAAUAAUUUGUUUUUUACUCUAUUUCUCUCUUCUUUUAAGAAUGUACUUGCUUGAUUGAAAAGCUUCUUAGAGGAACAUUGUGUGUCUAACACAAGGAAGUUUAAGGCAACAACAGG